CUCAGUUUACAAUUUAUUGCCAGAAUAAAACAUUUCCUGAAAAAAAUAUUCUAUUCUUAUUUUACGAUUGAUGAAAGAAGACCCUGGCUGUCGGGUGAUUACUGUGCUGAGUUUUCCGGGGUCACGAGUUCGGCAGCUGGCAAUUUCAUGGUAGUUUAUUUUGCGAGCUAAAGCUGGAAAAGUUUCACUCUAUAUUAUAAUAGCAUUAGAUUACUUGCGGUAUUACCUGUUAUGGUUUUGGUCUCGGUUUUUGUUGAAACUGUGCCAGAAAUGAUUUCCACUGGCCUGGCCUACAGCUGAGGACAAUCAUUUUGCUGUGAAGUGAAUACAUAAUUUUGAAUUAUGAAUACACAUCCCAAUGUUGUUCAAACACUUACCUACUUAAAAUUAAUGGACAACCCAAGUAACCAUGAAGCUAUAUAUGCUUGUAAAAAACACAGCCCUAAAAGUUGACUUAAAGUGGAAAAGGGCAAUUAUAAGAGUGAAAUCAGGAGUGAUUCAGUUUGAUUCCAAAUUUUCGACCACUAUUCUAGUUUGAAUCUGAAGCCAAAUAGAACAAACUCGCUGGUUUCCCCAGCAAUGUUCUAUUCACGUUUUUCAAAUUUUCAAUCAAAUGAAAUCAUCAUGUUGGCGCCAAGAAAGGCGCCGUAAUUGCAAAGUGGAUUGAUCCGUAGAUAAAAUGAUGGAUUCAUAAACCAAAACAAUUGGAAAAUGUUUGAAUCUCGUGAUUCAAUCGUGGUUCAAAUCUGCAGAAAAUAGAACGGAGCGUUAUACCAGUUUUAUUUUUUUGACAUUUGGCUGGUAUAAAAAAUGAAUCUAGAACAGCUGCUGGGAAAAUGAAUGUUCCAGAUUCAUAUUCAAACUGACAGCCCCGAACGAUUUGAAUCACUGCUGAUUUUACCCUAAGACCGAAAUAAUGGUUCAUUACUUUGGCAUGUUGAAAUAAAGCACUAGUAAUGCAUCGCUGCAUUCGUACUGCUGAUUUAGAGUAUCGUUGUCUGACAGUUGAUAAAUAAAUGCAACAACACAUCGUUAAAACAGAUCUAAUGCAAUUAGCAUUUAGCAUGCCGAUUUGUGAUUGAUAUACGUGCAAUAUUGUAAUGCUUGGUGUUACUUGGGAAUAUUUUUCAGCGAAUGAAUUCCGAGGAGAAAUCAACAUUUUUAUUGUCGAAAUUAGUUUUAUUUUGAACUCAAACUGCGAAUAAAAUGGAAUUAACUUCUCAGUUCGCCGCUCAAAUGUCAAGCUUCAACGUAAAUAUCAACAUAAAUAUUACUUUGUUGGUUGUAGCAAAAUCGACAUGCCAAACACGUUCGAUUGUUGUGGCUUUACAUUUAGUAAGGAUCGUCUUGUGUUACACGUUAAUGUCCCAUGGAUUUCCAAAAGAAAAUUAAUUUGCUCAGAGCGUUGCAAAUUCAUUGUGAAUUGCAGUAAACAAAAUGUGUUAGAUCUAUCGAAGUGAUGGGAACUUCAUCAAAUAAUUUGUAUGUCAAGGAAACUGAGUUCAUCAUGUUUUUGCAUUAUCUUCGAUCGUGUGGAUUAUUUUCAGUGUAAUGUAUCUGAUGAAACAUUAUCUGAAUAGAUUUAUUUAUGAGUGCACGACAGCAGUGAGCGCUGCGCGCAACACUGCUGUCAGUUUAUUGUCUAUGCGGGUCAUCGCUGGAACGUCGCGUCGCUCAACCAGCGAGCGCUUUCCAGUUUGGUGCUGUGGCGACGCAUUUAAUUUGCCUGCGUCGCUGGAGCACUGACUGGAAAGGGUCGCCAGCGACCAGCGACGUUUCAGUCGAGCGACGUAGUUGAGACAAGUUCAUACAUGUUCUUGAUUUUAUCUGCAUCGACAAUACCUAAUAGCAAUAAACAAGGCCAGAAGGCCUCUUCUAAUCAUCCACCCAACGGAGUCGGUUCGUUUUUAUUUCCCCUCACGAAAACCACAGUUAGCAGGAUUCUGUACGGCUAAGUUUAUGCUGUUUAAAAUAGUGGCGACGAGGAUAAAUUCGGUUUCGGUGCGGCAGCUAUUUUUUUUUCGGUUUUGUUUUUCGAACCACAGUCGGAGACACAAUUCGCCCCAGUUGGCCGGAAGAUAAAGUGAAAAAAAGGGAAUGGUGUAAAGUGCUAAAAAUCUAUAUAUUAUGCAUCCCAAGAUAAACACUCAGAUCGUGAUCAUCCCAACCAGCCUCCGUUGAAUUGCGCUGGAGCGCGCCCAUUUACUUUACACACGGCGGCUAUUCAGCUAUGGCAACCCCAUUCGGCGGCUGAUUAAAUUUAACAGCAUAGACUCGCACCCUAUGCAAAAGCUUAUGGGCGCGCUGCUGCGCAAUCUUUGCUUGCGCGUUACCACCGCGAAGAACUGAGCGUUUAAGAAGAGCGCGACAAUAACAAGUUAUUAAGAUUGUUUCUUUUAUAUUCAACAGAUAUUUUUUUACGAUCUGCAUAGUGGGAGAUUUGUGCGGCAAACAAUAAAUUAACGGAUCCGCUCAGGGGGGAAGACACUUUAAUCAUUUUACAAAUCAUUCAAAAGAUUUAAAAAAAAUUCAAAAGAUUUAAAAUGAUUCGGCGAGAUUGAAUCUUUUUUGACUAUUUUCUCGCCUUAUUGACGUUUUUGUUCAGUGUGGCGAGAUUGAUAAUAAAAAAAUUUAAAAAAAAAUCAAAACAUAAACAAAGACGGUAUAUUCGGAAUCUUGUUCGGAAUAUUCGUGCCGGUCACAUUUAGUUACACACCCCCGCAGGGUAGUAAUAAAUCCAUUGGGAAUAGCAGCAGUGCCGGCACUGCGACCAACAACUCCAGCAAACACCAUCACCUGAUUGCAUCUUCUAGUCAAGCCUCUGGUGGGCUCCUGGGAAGCAGUGCUAAUGAAUCGCCUGCUUUCGCCUACACUAGGAGUUAACUUUCUGAAAUCAGUAUGGCGAAAGGCAUCUAAGGUUCGAUUUCUCAAAAUUAAGCACUUUCAUCAAAAAAAUAUUUGGUAGGACUACCAUGGACGCCUUCCUACAUAAUCGGUACCAAAUAGUUUUUCAUGAAAAGUUUCUUAUUUUGAGAAAACCCGCGUUAGAUGACUUUCGCCAUACAAAUUUCUGGCGGUUAACUCUUGCUGGCUAUUUUGCGCAUAUACUAUAGCGCCUGGAUGUGAUAGCGACGGGUAGAAAAUCAGCCACUGCCAAUAAUUCAUUCAUUGAGAUUCUCACGUCUGAAUGUGUGAGUGGCGAUAAAAGGAAAACAAGCACUCCUAGAUGGUGCUACUCAGCAAAGUUUGGGUAAAAAUGAGUAUAUUUCCAUAUAUUUUUUGACUCUUUCGCAACCAUUGUGAUGACUUGAUCAAUUUUGAGGUUAUGAGCAGAAGGAAAACAAACAUGUAUUUACACAUGCCGAAUUGCACAUCAGUGUGCGAGCGUUAAACGUCACUCAUCUCUAUGGCGGCAGUUUGAACAUGAACGGUGGCCACACCGUGGUGCUCUCGGAUCUGGACUCGAGCGACGAUAAUCAUCUGAGCUUCUUGGAACCAAUAAUCACGAUAAUCAUCUGAGCAAAAAUGGAACCGAUAUAUUCGACUACGAUUGUGAUUACGAUAACGAAGAGGAGUUCAACUAUCAGGCCCGCGCUGCAGCUGCCGUAGCAGCAUCGACCAGUGCCACCAGCUUUUGCACUCCCGGUGGGACAAAUGCGGCUGGUUCUGCUGCUGUUCGCAGCGGUAGCAGCAAUAGCAAUAGCAGCAGCAAAAAUCGGGUUUCGUUCGAUGCCAAUAUGAGUGAUUUCCAGCAAGUUCCUCUUAUUGGAGACUUCGAUAUGGAUGGAAGGGGCCUGCUGAAAACCCGAAGGUCCAACAGUCUUCAACGGUGAGCAGUGCAUGCGGACUUUCGUUUGGCGAGCUGCAUCAGCAAAAGCAUAACAACGAAUAUUUAUCAGCGGAAAAUCUAGCUAACCUGCAGCUUCUGCAGAAUAAACCAAGGAGUUUCUCCUAAACCAUGGACAGUCCUCGUUCGUCGGUACAGUGUGCUACUGCGAAUGAAAUGAUUAAUGGCUGACUACCAGGGCCUGACACAAGCUCCCUAAAUUUCUGAGCGCCAUGCCACCUAAAUUUCCGGUGGACUAUGCUGCGCGAAUUUGGUUACAGUCCCUCGCUGGCACUCGGACGAUGAUCAGCUGCCCCUAACAUGA